AUACGGAGGGUGCGAGCGUUAAUCGGAAUUACUGGGCGUAAAGGGUGCGUAGGCGGCUUGAUAAGUCGGAUGUGAAAGCCCCGGGCUUAACCUGGGAAUUGCAUUCGAUACUGUCAGGCUAGAGUAUGUCAGAGGUUGGCGGAAUUCCUAGUGUAGCGGUGAAAUGCGUAGAUAUCAGGAGGAACACCAGUGGCGAAGGCAGCUAACUGGGGCAAUACUGACGCUGAGGCACGAAAGCGUGGGGAGCAAACAGGAUUAGAAACCCUAGUAGUCC
rnacentral:rRNA from 1 species